rnacentral:rRNA from 1 species
UACGAAGGGGGCUAGCGUUGCUCGGAAUUACUGGGCGUACAGCGCACGUAGGCGGUCUUUUAAGUCGGUGGUGAAAUCCUGGAGCUCAACUCCAGAACUGCCUUCGAUACUGGAAGACUUGAGUCCGGGAGAGGUGAGUGGAACUGCGAGUGUAGAGGUGAAAUUCGUAGAUAUUCGCAAGAACACCAGUGGCGAAGGCGGCUCACUGGCCCGGUACUGACGCUGAGGUGCGAAAGCGUGGGGAGCAAACAGG